UACGAGUGGCGCAAGUGUUACUCCUCGUGACUGGGCGUAAAGAGUGCGUAGGUAGUAUAUAAAAUCAGAGGUGAAAGCACAAAAAAUAUUUGAGAUAUGCCUUUGGAAUAAAUAUACUGGGGUAUUUUAGGAGAUAGUGGAAUGACUAAUGUAGAAUUAAAAAGCGUUUGUACAUUACUCGGAACGUCAAUGGCGAAGGCGAAUAUCUAUGAAAUACUAAAACUGAGGCACUAAGGCAUGGGGAUCGAAUGGG
rnacentral:rRNA from 1 species